UAGUGUACAGCCCAAUUUUGGGGCCCAAAUAAAACCCACUAACCCCUAAAUACCCACUAAACAACCCACAUGGCCCAAACACAAAAUAGAAAAAGAAAAAUGAAAGAAAACCUAAAACCCUAGCCGUUCAGCCUCUGACCCCUGUCCCAUCCACCAACGCCUGCAGCAUCGCCCCACCGUCGUCCAAGUUGCGCUCCUGCAAGCAAUUAACGGGAAGUGACAUAAAGCAAAACAAAGAAAUGUAAUGGCUAUUUAAAAGCCAAAUCCAAAAACCAUGUACUGAUUCAGGCACUUUUAUGAAAAUAAAAAGCAAGCAACGUUCUAUUUCCAGUAAAAAAGCAGAGACUUUAACAACAUCAAGAGCAGGGAAUAGCCCCAUAUCAGAGACCGGAGAACCGAAAACCACAAAAUCUAAGGUCUAUUUUCCUUUUUUCUUUUCGAAUUUAUUUACAGAUUAUCCCCAUUUCUAAUAAACAUAUUACCCCAUUUUUAACAAAACAACAUACAUAUAUUAAAUAAAUAAAACAUAAAUAAAAAAGAAGAGAAAAUUUUACCUAGGGGCAAUUUCCGGCCACCGCGUACGGUGGCCGGCACGACGGCGACGACGGUGGUCCGACGACCGGAGCCAGGUCGGAG
rnacentral:lncRNA from 1 species